UGGUCAUAUCAUGUUGAAACACCAAUUCCUGUACGAUCAUCAAAGUUAAGCAACAUUGACCUUGGUCAAUACCUAGAUGGGUGACUGCUUGGGAAUACCAGGUACUGUA